rnacentral:rRNA from 1 species
GACGAACGCUGGCGGCGUGCUUAACACAUGCGAGUCGAACGGAAAGGCCCUGCUUUUGUUGGGUGCUCGAGUGGCGAACGGGUGAGUAACACGUGAGUAACCUGCCCUUGACUUUGGGAUAACUUCCGGAAACUGGGGCUAAUACCGGAUAGGAGCUCCUGCUGCAUGGUGGGGGUUGGAAAGUUUCGGCGGUUGGGGAUGGACUCGCGGCUUAUCAGCUUGUUGGUGGGGUAGUGGCUUACCAAGGCUUUGACGGGUAGCCGGCCUGAGAGGGUGACCGGCCACAUUGGGACUGAGAUACGGCCCAGACUCCUACGGGAGGCAGCAGUGGGGAAUAUUGCACAAUGGGCGGAAGCCUGAUGCAGCAACGCCGCGUGCGGGAUGACGGCCUUCGGGUUGUAAACCGCUUUCGCCUGUGACGAAGCGUGAGUGACGGUAAUGGGUAAAGAAGCACCGGCUAACUACGUG